rnacentral:rRNA from 1 species
UACGUAGGGUGCAAGCGUUAAUCGGAAUUACUGGGCGUAAAGCGUGCGCAGGCGGUUUUGUAAGUCUGUCGUGAAAUCCCCGGGCUCAACCUGGGAACUGCAUCUGUGACUGCAUCGCUGGAGUGCGGCAGAGGGGGAUGGAAUUCCGCGUGUAGCAGUGAAAUGCGUAGAUAUGCGGAGGAACACCGAUGGCGAAGGCAAUCCCCGUGGGCCUGCACUGACGCUCAUGCACGAAAGCGUGGGGAGCAAACAGG